rnacentral:lncRNA from 1 species
GUCUGCCUUGAAAUAUCCUUUCUGACAUGCUGCCAAGAACCCUCGCUGCCAGGGAUUCUGUGGCGAGCAGACUUCGGAAGGCAAGGAGCUGAAUUAGGCUUCCAUCACCCACUCAGCUUCCAGGUGUCAUCCCUAAGAAGAUGAAAUGGGGAUCGGUGGGGAUGCGGAGACGUUGGGCGAGGAAGCAAACAGAUGGGCAAUGACUCAGGACAGGUGACGUUCAGGAGGAAGUAGCUGGACCAGGAAUGGAGAAGGCAGGCGGUGGAUGUGAUAGCCCGGGUUCUUCAAUUCAUAAUGGCAUUAAGUGGGAUGAAGGACUUGAGAGUUACAUAGAAUUGAGACCAGAAACAUCCCCACGCCCUGUAGCCUUAAGCAUGAUGCUUUCCUGUUUUGAAGCAUGGCUUUCUGCUGAAACUGAAUGAAUAGUCAUGAGCGCUGUAAAGAUAUUGGUCAGUAAUGAACUAUGUAUAUGGUGGCCGUUUCUAUGGCAACACUAAUGUAAACAAAUCUAGUGAGCAACCAAUUGUAAAUACACCAAGCACAAUUAUAGACAGUACAUGAUACUUAGCACCGAGGGACAGGGUCACUAGUUCAUGUACUGAUUAUAUUUUCUAUUGCUGUCUUAGAGUGUUAUUUUUUAAAUUCCUUUCACUUAUUAAAAAACAAAGUUUAUAGUCAAAUG